ensembl:antisense 1700003G13Rik RIKEN cDNA 1700003G13 gene
GAACUCCCACAUAUUCGCACUAAGUCACAGGGAACAAGGCAGAAUGAGGUUCAGUGGGGUGUGCCAGGUGUGUGUUGAUCAGCACCAAUGACAGCAUGAAACUGAUGUUCCAGGUGGGGAGACUGAAGAGGAGCCAGUUGUAGACACAAGAUAGAGAUCGUGACGAGAAAGUCACAUGUUAUGACGGUGGCUGCAUCUCUGAUAUAUCAGAGGACAUUCUAAAGAAGCCCUGACACACAAAAGGCUUCUGAGACUCCUGCACCAGGGACUAAGAUGAAGCAGUUGAAAUCACUGGAUCCCAGGCAGCUUCCAGCCAGCAGAGACAUUCUGUCUUCCCUACACUCGGGGCAGGUCUUGGCAGCGCCCUGCCUGACUCCAGCCUGUCCCUUCUCAUGCCUGGGAAAGCCCAGGAGACCGCGGCGCACUCACCCGGUGGCUGCCUCUGUCCAUGGUGUAAGAGAAUGCUUCUUCCAGGCUCAGCUGAUGUCGAGGAGGCAAAAGAAACAGAGGAAGAGACACGUGUCCUAAAGCAAAAGUCGCUGUGCUCAGAAGUGUGGAAGCAGAAGAGUUCGGUGGACUUGGGAAUGCUCCCUUUGUGAUAAAGCCCCAGGGUGGCUGCAACUUCGCUGAGAUCCGUGGAUUCUGCGAUUGGGUCUGUGUUCCCCCAUGCAUGAAUCUGUACCCAGAUAAAAUUCUCUUUGCUUUU